rnacentral:lncRNA from 1 species
UGAAAAACAAUCCAGUUCUGGGCUCCAGCCUGGUGAGCUUCUAUGGCAAAUGCGGCGAUGUUGAUUCUGCUCAGGAAGCGUUUGACGAGUGCCGAUCUCGGGACAACACGGGUCUCUGGAACUCUCUCAUACAGGCUUACACUCUCCAGGGCCGAUCAAUCGAGGCCUUGGAGCGUUUCUAUUCCAUGACUCAGGAGGAGGGCUGUAAAGCUGACGAUGUGAGUUUUGUCUCGGUGUUGAACGCUUGCAGCCAUGGUGGUCUGGUGGGGAAAGGAAGGCAGCUUCUGGAUGAAAUGCCCAAGCAGUAUGGAGUCAAGCCACGUCUGGAGCAUUAUGUGUGCCCGAUCGAUAUGCUCGGGCGAGCUAACCUCCUCGACGAAGCUGUGAGAGUUCUCAGAGCCAUGCCUUUUGAACCGGAUGCAGUGGUUUGGACGUCCCUGCUCGGAGCCUGCCGGAAGUGGAAGAAUUACACGAUCGGCAAACUCGCGUUUGAGCGUCUUGUGGAGAUGGAUCCCAAGAGCGGCACGCCCUAUGCAUUGAUGGCCAAUAUAUUUGGAAACCUGGGGAUGCUCAGUGAAAUGGCCGCUGUUGUGGAGAGAAUGAGGGUGAAGACAGCUUCAGGGAGCCCGGGAGAAGCUGGUGGACGGAUGUUAGCUCUCUUUCUCUUCCUCGGGUAUGUCUUUUAGAACGUUGAUCACAUAGCUCACGUAGCCCUCCUCUUUCAUUCUCAGCAACAAUUGCUUGAGCUUGGCCGCAAUCUCGUCGCUCUGUGAGUGACUCCUAUCCCCGACAGAAAAAGAAUGCACUUUUCCUGGAUCACCUGUGCGGCCACAGUGAGAAGCUUGCGCUGGGGUGUGCUCUGGUGAACUCACACCAGAAGGAGACCAUCAGAAUUGUGAAAAAUUUCCGAGUUUGUGACGAUUGCCAUGCGGCCACUGCUCUCAUCUCUAAGCUGGAAAAAAGGCUAAUCAUCUACAAAGAUGCCAGUCGGGUUCAUGUGUUCCAGGAUGGCAGAUGUUCCUGUGACAACUACUUUUGAAAACAUGUCAGUGCUCUUUCUUGCAGUUAUCCCUGGUUUUAAACCCUCCGUGAGUCAAGCAGAAACAUGGGCCGCUGAGUGAGCAUGCCUCGUCAAAGUACCGCCGCCAACCUGAACUUCACGGAGAAAAAAGUAACAUUUAAAAGUUAAAACUAUGCAAAAGGAGGAUGACAAGAAUCGGGGAAUACUGACUAAACUUGCCAACAGGUGCCCCAAAACGGAGCGCCCAGAUUCAGAUAAUAAGCUUUAGUAUGAAGACUUGCUGAUAGGAAGUACUGCCUCAUGUUCCGGGAGCAAGGUGAUGGUGGCUUGUGGCAUGACCAACUUUGGGUUUGUGCUCCUAGAGCACGUUGAAGACGUGUGGAAGCUGGUGACAAUGGCAUUUGUUUCUUGCGACAUACUCACCAGUUCCCUCUGGUGCCCAACCUCAAGGCUCUCUUGUGGAUGGAGCUAGCCCUACACAGUGUGUGUGUGUGUGUAUCAACCAGCAGAUGCACAAAUUGUUGAGAAUUAGCAACAAGUGUGUAUUAUAGGCUUAGUACGUAGUGUACUAGUGUACAUGUACAUGUGUUUCAGCUAAAUAUAAUGGGCCAAAUACACUGAAAAAGUGUGUAUAAGAAGAGUAGAAACAAAUUAAGAAAUGUAAAUUAAGAAGUGCAAAAGAAAUGAAAAUAAAAAUUGUCCAUCCUCAUCAGUUUGCUGAAAUUAAGUUGGAUUCAAUUCUUCCAGCUCCAAAUAUUGUGAUUGAGUUGUAAGUUAAUUAAUAGUAGAAAAUAAGAAAAAAAACAAACAUUGGAAAAAUAGUGUUUGAUAAUAUCUUCUUUGCUUUUAGUUUUUUAUUUUCGAAAGAAAAUUACUGGGGAAGUGCUGGUAAAGAUAUCUUUGCCGUUCGUUGGUGGUUAAUUAAAUGAGCAUGUUUAGAGAUGUUUAUAAGAGUUUAGCUCUGGACGAAAAUUAAAGUUCAAAAUUUACGUUUUCCCUAUUUGCACAAUAACUUAAGCUAAAGUAAUGUACUUACCCUUAUUUUUUAUGGGAAAAUUAUUAGUAUUUUGGAUUCGCACGAAAAAAAAGGCGAAUUUAGAGGAUUCUAAAGUAAAAACCCCGACCAAAUCUAAAGUGUUGGGUCAUUUUAAGUUGUUAAAAAUUAUUCCGGAAAUAUUCGAGAAGAUUCUUAGGUUAGGCUUUGGCGUGCCUGCGAAGAAGAUCUGAUCUCGCGGCACGGCCCGAGAAUUAAAACAUGGAGAGGCCUGAGGAGGUGGAGGAAGCAGGUAAUCCGAUUUUAGGGUUGGAAGAGGAGGAAGUCGCCAUAGGGAAAUGGGGAUCUGGGCCUGUUCGUGCUCUAUCUUCACCAACAGGAGGAGGAAGAGGUGCCCAUGGACGGAGAGGUGGCCAUGGAGUGGGAGGAGGGCGCGGGGUGGCCGGGGUUGGCCGCGGAUCUCUGAAUCUGGCCCCGGGAGGAUUAGGCCAUGGUUCUGAGGCGGCUCGAGGAGGGGUUGCCCCGGGAGGAGGAGGCCAUGGUUCUACUCUAGGAGCAGGACCUCUUCGUCAGAAGUUUAAGCAUCGAGCCAUUGUCUGGGCACAUUGAAAUGUCUUUGGCGGCAACAACAUCACAAGAUUCAAAUGGCUGGAAGAAGUUUGGUGCUGGAGAGAUCGUUAGUGGCUGCAUACACAACAUUGAAGCAUUUGGGAUCUUCAUCAGCCUUGCCAAGAGCAAUGUGGUAAGCUCUCUCUCUAUCUUGGUUUCAAGUUCUUAGUCUGUGCUCCAAGGUUGCUUGUGUCAUGUCUCUGAAGUGUCUUACGAUUUUAUUCAAGACUUGUCAACACUUUGCAAAGUCGGCCAAUGGGUUCAAGUAAAGAUUCUAAAGGUGAGAACGAAAGCUUGAGUAAAACCACAGGGUUAUGAUUUCCCUCUACAGGUUGAUGCGGAAACCAAACGUAUAUCUCUUGGAAUGAAAGCGUCAUAUCUGACCCCUGAGGAUGGCAUCGAGCCGAUGGAGGAAGAAGCUAUAAAUAAAGAGCCUUCGAACACAAAUGUGCUCAUGGAUAAUGAUGAGAGGGAGGAGGAGGACUACUUGGAUCUGGCAUCAAAACGAUUCCCACAGCUAUGCAUGUUGAUCCACUCUCAACAAAGACGUUGAGGAUACAGUGCCAAUUGACUUGAAAGAGCAGAGUUACUUCUUGUUUAUAUUUAGUCUUCUCAUGUCCUGCUUCUCGACAGGGAGGCUGCAGCAAAAGAGCAGUUAUUACAGAAGGACCAGCCUCCAGAGACCAAGGACGACUUUGAAAGGCUUGUAGCAGCGUCACCAAAUAGUAGCUCCAUGUGAAUCAAAUGCAUGGCUUAUUGGUUGUGUCUUGCGGACCUGGACAAGGUGCGAGCAGUGGCUGAAAGGUAACACUCUACUCACAUUUGAUUCUAUUUUUCUUUAGGUGUUACAAUCCAAGCUCUUUUUUAUAGGGCAUUGGAGAAGAUAAUUUAUUGAGAAGAAAUGGAAAAGAUGAACAAAUGUAUGGCUUGCACUCACAAUGUAAUGUUUUUGAUUUUCCUACAACCUAGAGAAGCAUUUGAAGAGCAAAUGGCAAUUACUUUAGGUGGAUAUAAUGACCAUGGAAACUACUAUAGUAAGCAUGCUUGUGUUUGGGGAUAGAGAUCAAGGGUAUGGUAGAAGACCUCAAUGUUUUGAGUGUUAAUUUGGGGAUAUAUUACAGGCGCUAGCUUUGACCACAUGGUCAACAUUGGUCAAAGGGAGGCUCAAGGGUUUAUGAAAGCAUGUUAGAGUAAGGAACUUAAGAGUGACAGUGUAGAGGAGCUUUAGAGGUAGCUUGGGGGUGGUUGAGUUCAAGAGGAGGUGUAGUUUAGUCUAGGCAAAUUAAAUUGUUGAAUUUUUGUGCCGGGGUCAUAACAUUGGUAUCAGAGGUGUUAGUUGUGAUGGCCGACUAAGUUGAACACUGGAAUCCUAUUAUCGAUGGUAGUGCCAAUGAUGGUGCCAAUGGAGCUGUAGAGUUUUGGACCAUGGAAGAUGUUAUUCACGAGCUGCGAACCCUUAAUAAAAAUCAGCAAGAGAUGCAAGACAAGAUGCAUAGCAUGAUGGGUACCUUGCAUGAGCGUGUUGAGGCACUUGGGGCUAGUUGUGGUGGCACUCCAAGUAAGCCUUCUUUGGUGGAUUAACUUAAGAUUCUAACUUUUUCUAGUGAUGGUUAUGUGGAUGAAUAUCUAGCUUAGCUAGCUAAUGUGAAGAAGUUCUUGGCUGGUAAAAAAACUCCAAAUGCAAAGGCUUUAGUGGCUAUUCCAAUGGUUUUGUGUGAUGCAGGUCUUUAGUGGUGGAAUUGGCUAAAAUAGUUUUGUGUUGCAGAUAAAAAACCAUUAGUGUUUAUGAUGGAUGAGUUUGAGGUUGCUUUCCAUUUACGUUUUGCCCUUCACUAUGACAUGAAAAAUGCUUACACUGGACUUUGACAUUUUCAGCAAGGGAAAAUGAAGCUUAGGGAUUAUAUUGAGAAGUUGACUCAUUUAAUUAGCUGUGUUCCAAUGAAGGAUCCAAAUUAGAACAAGUCCUACUUCAUUAAUGGCCUUCAUAGUGAGAGCAUGUGGCAACACUUACAUCAUUCUUAGCUUACAAAAAGCUUGGAAGAGCUCUUUAAUGCUGCUCGUUGACUAGACAAUAACAAGUAUAAAUCUCACAAGCGUUUGAGGAGUCCUUCUGUUGAGAAUCAUCAUGAUGAUCAUUAUGGACAUAAGGAUGGGAAUAAACAUCACAAGCUAAAGUCUAUGGUGGCUACUUUGGGUACACAGGUGUCAAAGAAGCAGAGUGUUUACUAAAAUUGAUCUGAGGAGUGGACAUUGUCAGAUUGCUACGGAUGAUGCAUCUAUCUCCAAUAUGGCAUGCAACACGAGUUUUGGGCAUUUUGAGUUUAAGGUUAUGCCAUUUGGUUUGACGAAUGUGUAAGCGACUAAUUUUUCCAUUCUACUUUAGUCACUUAACCACACCUUCAACCGCUUGGAGGAGUCUCAUUCACAACCUCCUUAAGUCCAAUUCAGGACUUGGGGCUUGCUAGCCCAAGAAUGGCAUCCAUGCCACUCAUCGCUUGCACUUAGUCCAAGUGCUCCACGUGUCCGGUCCCAAGACCGACACCCAAAGGCACCACUAACAUAUCGGCCCGUUAUGCUAAGGCCAUGCCCAUUCACCUUUGCCGCACUAGUGGUCCAAUACCACUUGUAUCACAAUCCCGUCUCUCCAAGACUGGGCCAUUUGUCCACGAGUGGUCAACCCAGAUCCACUCUUUAGCAUCCUUAGGAUGCCCACAGAUAUGGGAAAUAACCUUCCCCAAUAUCCCUUUGUCAGUUCCUACCAAGUCCCUUUUCUGUCCAUGGCCAUGUUCGCCAACACUGCCACUCGAUCAACGCCCACAGGCCCGACCACUAAGUCCCAUGGUCCUAUGGGACUUCCUCACCACACAACUGUGUCCUUGGUCACUACCCCAGAGGACUGCUCCUCUUCCUUUCCACAGUCUGGGCCUUUGGGACAACAUUUCGGAACACCGUGGCCUUACGCGAGCCACCUGGGUACUCUCCCCGCCUUUCGCCUUUAGGUGCUCUAGCCAUGGGCUUAGAGCGAAGUUCCGUUGAGCCACACCUAGUAUCCAAGUAGGUGCCACCCACACUUGGACUGGGAGCAUCGGCCAGUCGAUCUCCCGGGGGAACUAGAGCCGGCUCUUGAACACUUCACCAAGCCACCCCGCUUGUCGGUCCGUAUUCACUCUAGUCUUGGACUUCCCAGUGGUCAGUUCAUCACCCAACACUGGGUCUGGCCUUCCUGGGCCAAACUGGCCUUUCCUGGCCAAACUGGCCUUUCUUGGCCAAACUGGCUCCACUGCAGUCCUCCCCCUUACUAUACUUUUGGAGCUCACCAAACCCCCCAGGGUUUGGGAGACGAACGCUUUGGGAUUUCACCCUCUCAGACUCGAACUCGGACUCGGACUCGGACUUGGACUCGGGCUCAGGCUCGGGCUCGGUCUCAGCCUUAGCCUCAGUCUCGUUCCUGGUCCCGGUCCCGGUCCCGGUCUCGGUCUCGGUCUCGGUCUUGGUCUCGGUCUCGGUCCCGGUCCCGGUCUCGGUCUCGACCUCGGACUCCAUCUCGGGUCCUUCUCGGAUUCCAUCUCAGACUCCAUCUCGGACUCUGUCUCGGUCCAUCUCGGACUCCAUCUCGGACUCCAUCUCGGGUCCAUCUCGGACUCCAUCUCGGGUCCAUCUCGGACUCCGUCUCGGUCCACCUCGGACUCCACUUCGGGUCCAUCUCGGACUCCAUCUCGGACUCCAUUUUGGGUCCAUCUCGGACUCCACUUCGGACUCCAGCUCGGACUCCAUCUCGGUCCAUCUCGGACUCCAUCUCGGACUCCAUCUCGGUCCAUCUCGGACUCCAUCUCGGACUCCAUCUCGGACUCCGUCUUGGUCCAUCUCGGACCCCAUCUCGGACACUUCCACGUGUCAUGUGUUGGUCCUUUUGGGUCCCUUUUUGGAGCCUCGCUUUUUGCUCGCUUUGUGCUUGUUCCUCAAGCACUUUGUUGGGAGUUCCACUCCCGCUCUCGACCUUCCAAGUCGGAGCUUUUAGUCCAAACGGGUCACGCUCGUUUGGCUUUCGCUUCAGCCACUACCACGUGGCACCCUUUCCAGCUCCACUUUGGGGCCUAGGGAUUUUGUGUCUCACAACUCCACCACCCAUAGACGAAGUUCGAUGUCCUCAUCGAACGGUAAACCCUUUUAUAAAGUAACACCCAUAAGUAUUACCAUUCCCAUCCUUGGCACCUGGCCAAUAUUUGUCUAUGGUUUGACCCCGAAGGCUCACCAUGCCUUGUCCAUCCUCUAAGGAGGAUAGUCUCUCCAACUUAGAGACUGAUUGGACCACUUGUGGUGGUUCUUUCCGUUUAUUGGUUUAGUUCUCGCUAAACCCGUUAGAGACACCUCUCUAACUCAAUUCCACUACUCAUUCUUGAGUAGUCACAAAUUCCAUUGAUCUACCUUUGCACUUUGGAACAUUUACUUUUGACUUCUUGAAGUCAAUUUCCUAGGUGUCUCCGACACCUUGCCUUGCACCUUUUGUGCAACUCCACUUCCCCUCCUAGGAAGUUCUCUACUCGAGGGCACCCUCAUCCUCUUUUCUAUUUUUGUGCCCCCAUUGGCAUUAUGUUCCAUUUAUCAUUAUUUGUGCUAGGGCUGUCCACGGCCCUAUCUUUUGGCUACUUAGUUGCUCCCUCACUUGGAGCCUUUCCUUUGCCAAAUUGGAGCACUUGGGAAUCCAUCCUUGGAAGUCCACUUCUUUUUCCGCAAUCCGUUAGCAUCAACCACAUUAGUGUUCCUUGGCUAACUUUGCCACUUGGAUUCUUUCCAAUGGAUUCCACGGCCCUAUCUUGGGCACUCGUCUUUUGCUCCUAUCCUUGGAUUGUUGCACCAAGCAACAUAGGAUCAUUACCUCCCUCCUUGAGGUAUUCUUUUGGUUCCAUAGCAAAGGAUCUGCUUUGCCUAGACUAGGGUGUUCACCCCUAGUAAGUCUCCCCAAUUGUUCUAGGCUCUCUUCCUAGCCCAACCUUGUGACCCACCCAUGGGCCUGUCUCUGGAGACUAUUUUCUUGAACUCAUAAUACCAUUGUAUUGUAGUAGUUCAUUUCCCUUAGGUGUCCUUCCCACUUAGUCACCUUGACCAAGCCACACCUUUAUCAAUAGUUCAAAUCAACACUUUGAACUAGGAAUCAUAUUCCUUAACCCAAACAAAGACCUUGUCCUUGUUUAGCCAUAAGAUCACCUAGUAAUCUCAUUUUGACCCCUUAAUAGGUCUACCAAUAGGAAUUAGGUCUUCCAGACCUUACUAAGUUGUUGACUAAGUUGUGGGGGCAUCCCCCACACUUGGCGGUGCGCCCAAGCUAGCCCUUCCGGCCAAGGAUCCAUAGCAACUGAGACUGGGUGUCCCUAUCUCAUUCACCACGUCCUUGGUGCUUUUUGCACCAAAGUGUUCAAGUUAGAUAUGCCGAGCUUUCACUCUAAGCAAUCUAACCGUGCAUCACGACUUCGGGGCAUCCCCCGCUUGGCGGUGUGCCCAAACCAAUCUCCUCAUUGAGAGUCCAUGACCACUGAAAUAUGAGUGUCCUCAUAUUCCAAACCAUCACCACGCCCUAGCGAUUUGGGACUCGAACCCAAGCACUAGAGGGUCGGGACUUGAACCCAACCUCCGUAUAUGCAUCUACGGACGGCAUCACCCAGGAUGCCUGGCGUGACUCCCCACGCCGAUGCACCAAUUUAUACUCAAAGCGCGCUACAGAUCACAGCUUAGGAACCUAGUUCCUCCACACUGCCAAGUCCUCUCACUUGACAAGUCUGUGAUCAUGCAUGGACUCCUCCAUGCUUGGCCCCAUGGCCCACCCCUUUUGAAGUUAUCACCUUCAACUAGGGUAUUUGUUCCCCUGACUUGACAAUCUCGCUUUGGCAAGCCCUCCGACCACUGUAACAUGGUUCCUGCACAAGCGUGAAAGCCCUUGAUCAUCGACUUUCAUUCAAAGCCCUCUCUUUGAACACUCGGGAACUACUUCCCUAACCUUGAUAGCCUUGCCUCAUGGCAAGCUUCAAGACCACGCUUCUGCUGCGCCACUCUAAUUUUGCGCGUUCCUUGAACCAUUUACGCUUGGCCUUUCUAGGUACUAAGCUACCUAGAAUCAUCUUUGGGAACCUUGAAGGAACUCUGUCCUUUAGCUUGCUAAGGCCUCCCUUUUUGCAAGCUUGCCAAUUACCAUAUAGUCUAACAUGGACAUUUCCAUAUUUUAGACUCUCCAUGGCAUCACGGUUGCUAGCGGCAACACCCUCGAGCCCCCACUUGAUUCUCCACUCCCAGCUGGCAUAACCAACCUUGGUUAUGCCUUUCGAUUCCUAUGGUUUGGUUCUACCCCCAUACUUCUUGCUUUUGGCUUCACACCUUUCCUUCGGUCAUUCUCCUCCAGACCAGGAGGAUAGCUUUGCACUUUCUAUCAUGCCUUAGCAAGUAUUCUUAGGGAUGAACCUACCCGAUAGCCUAGGGAGUGGUUCCUCAAUCUAGGUAUGCUCACCCUAUAAUCCCACACCCCGAGAUUAUGUUGUUGCUUAAGGGCCUUUACAUGCCCAUUGCUAGUUUUGCCAAAAUUCCAUUUUUGGCUUUGUCCAAUUCGAGUAGACAGUCUUCUCCUGUCUCCGCCACCUUGGACAUUUGGGAUAGCACCUUCUAUCCAUCAUUCGCCAGGGACUUAGUCCCUUGGGCCUUAUCUAUUGCCCUCGCGACAUCAAACACCACCUCCUGGUGUUCUAGAGUGUUCGGGUGUCCUAAUGACGGCUUCCUUGACAAUGAGUAUUUCCUUUCAUGACAUUGACUUACUAUAUCGCAACAUAAGCAACUUAUCCCCCGUAAGGGUAUAUCCAACUUCCUUAUGCCAUUAAGAAGGCUUGGGUAGCUACCUUCUACCCGUUUAACCAAUUAUUUUGCACCUCUUACUUAGUUGCCUCAUAGUUGUCAAGUCCUACAACUCAUUACUGGUGCUUCCACACCUCCAUCAUUAUCUGGGUCACCACACUCCAACUGCAUGCUCUGCAACUUAGGUUAUGCCAUUCCCAUUUCCAUUGGGAUUCCUUUGGCAAGGGGUUCUCAUGAACCCACCAACAUAGCCUCAAGGUAUCACAUCUUGGCACAUUUGGUGUCUCCACACCAUCGGCUCUACGAGCCUACCUCUAUGACACUUUUUUUUUGUGUCUAAGUCUUUGCCAAGACCAAUACCACUCUUUCUCAUGCCAACCAUCCGUUAGCACUGCACCAUAGAGGUCACACACAACUUUGUUUCAAAGUUGUUUUCUUUUGGGAACACCCUUCCCACGACUUUAGCAUGGCACCUUUUGCCAUCGAUGAGAUACCCUUUAUUCUUAUCCUUGGAUCCUAUGAUCCCCCCCAUCCUUCGUGGGGUACCACUCAGUCCAAAUGCUUCCAUCAAUCCUUUAGGAUUAUUCCUUGACUCUAUUGGAGUCAUCCAGCUUUUUGGACUUUGUCAUCCGACGACCCAUGAGGUCCUACCUUUGAGGUGCCAGCUCACUGGAAUACAACUUCUUGUAUUCAGGUCCUACUCACAAGGACCAUCUUUGCAAGUGUUACUCCGACACUUGAUUUGUUCUCUUGGGGCAACCUUUGGCCUCUUAGGACCACUUGUCCAUGUGAUGAGAAUACCAACUCAUCCUCUAAGUACAUUCCCAACUCCUUGGGUUGUUCCAGCAUUUAUCAAGGGGAACCUCAGCUACCAUUUCGAGGACUUGUGUCCUCUCCUAUACUUGACCUCCCAUGGUCAUCAAUUCCGGUCUCAAAGUUAUGAGCACCGGCCUCAACUAUAUGAGGGUAAUCUUGUGACUCCUUUAUUAUUUUGGAGUCUACAUCUUUCCCGUGAUCCCAAUUAUAGUUGUUUACCACAACUACGUUAGCCCGUUUGCUGCGUCAAACACUCAUCUGGAUCACAUCCUCAGCUCUCUGAGGAAACCUUAUACUAUUCCCAAGAUCCCAAAGUCGUUCUAUUAUUGGCCCUUUUCUAUCCACCACAUCGUGCCCAAGUUCACGUAUGAAAUUGAGUGGAGAGCCAUGUCCUCUCGACGUGCUACUCCUCAAGGAUAGGCCCCCUCCUAGGACCUUCCAAUGCCAACAUCAAUGGUGAUAUACUUGAGCACAAUUAAAAGUCGGACUAAGGAACAGCUCUGAUACCAAGUUGUAAGCGACUAAUUUUUCCAUUCUACUUUAGUCACUUAACCACACCUUCAACCGCUUGGAGGAGUCUCAUUCACAACCUCCUUAAGUCCAAUUCAGGACUUGGGGCUUGCUAGCCCAAGAAUGGCAUCCAUGCCACUCAUCGCUUGCACUUAGUCCAAGUGCUCCACGUGUCCGGUCCCAAGACCGACACCCAAAGGCACCACUAACAUAUCAGCCCGUUAUGCUAAGGCCAUGCCCAUUCACCUUUGCUGCACUAGUGGUCCAAUACCACUUGCAUCACAAUCCCAUCUCUCCAAGACUGGGCCAUCCGUCCACGAGUGGUCAACCCAGAUCCACUCUUUAGCAUCCUUAGGAUGCCCACAGAUAUGGGGAAUAGCCUUCCCCAAUAUCCCUUUGUCAGUUCCUACCAAGUCCCUUUUCUGUACAUGGCCAUGUUCGCCAACACUACCACUCGAUCAAGGCCCACAGGCCCGACCACUAAGUCCCAUGGUCCUCUGGGACUUCCUCACCACACAACUAUGCCCUUGGUCACUACCCCAGAGGACUGCUCCUCUUCCUUUCCACAGUCUGGGCCUUUGGGACAACAUUUCCGAACACCGUGGCCUUACGCGAGCCACCUGGGUACUCUCCCCGCCUUUCGCCUUUAGGUGCUCUAGCCAUGGGCUUAGAGCGAGGUUCCAUUGAGCCACGCCUGGUAUCCAAGUAAGUAGUGCCACCCACACUUGGACUGGGAGCAUCGGCCAAUCGAUCUCCCGGGGGAACUAGAGUCGGCUCUUGAACACUUCACCAAACCACCCCGCUUGUCAGUCCGUAUUCACUCUAGUCUUGGACUUCCCAGUGGUCAGUUCAUCACCCAACACUGGGUCUGGCCUUCCUAGGCCAAACUGGCCUUUCCUGGCCAAACUGGCUCCACUGCAGUCCUCCCCCUUACUAUACUUUUGGAGCUCACCAAACCCCCCAGGGUCUGGGAGACGAACGCUUUGGGCUUUCACCCUCUCAGACUCGAACUCGGACUCGGACUCGGACUCGGACUCGGGCUCGGGCUCGGUCUCAGCCUUGGCCUCAGUCUCGGUCCUGGUCCCGGUCCCGGUCUCGGUCUUGGUCUCGGUCUCGGUCUCGGUCUCGGUCCCGGUCCCGGUCUCGGUCUCGACCUCGGACUCCAUCUCGGGUCCUUCUCGGACUCCAUCUUGGACUCCAUCUUGGACUCCGUCUCGGUCCAUCUCGGACUCUAUCUCGGACUCCAUCUCGGGCUCCAAAAAGCUGGAUGACUCCAAUAGAGUCAAGGAAUAAUCCUAAAGGAUUGAUGGAAGCAUUUGGAUUGAGUGGUACCCCACGAAGGAUGGGGGGGAUCAUAGGAUCCAAGGAUAAGAAUAAAGGGUAUCUCAUCGAUGGCAAAAGGUGCCAUGCUAAAGUCGUGGGAAGGGUGUUCCCAAAAGAAAACAACUUUGAAACAAAGUUGUGUGUGACCUCUAUGGUGCAGUGCUAAUGGAUGGUUGGCAUGAGAAAGAGUGGUAUUGGUCUUGGCAAAGACUUAGACACAAAAAAAAAAGUGUCAUAGAGGUAGGCUCGUGGAGCCGAUGGUGUAGAGACACCAAAUGUGCCAAGGUGUGAUACUUUGAGGCUAUGUUGGUGGGUUCAUGAGAACCCCCUGCCAAAGGAAUCCCAAUGGAAAUGGGAAUGGCAUAACCUAAGUUGCAAAGUAUGCAGUUGGAGUGUGGUGACCCAGAUAAUGAUGGAGGUGUGGAAGCACCAACAAUGAGUUGUAGGACUUGACAACUAUGAGGCAACUAAGCAAGAGGUGCAAAAUAGUUGGUUAAACGGGUAGAAGGUAGCUACCCAAGCCUUCUUAAUGGCAUAAGGAAGUUGGAUAUACCCUUACGGGGGAUAAGUUGCUUAUGUUGCGAUAUAGUAAGUCAAUGUCAUGAAAGGAAAUACUCAUUGUCAAGGAAGCCGUCAUUAGGACACCCGAACACUCUAGAACACCAGGAGGUGGUGUUUGAUGUCGCGAGGGCAAUAGAUAAGGCCCAAGGGACUAAGUCCCUGGCGAAUGAUGGAUAGAAGGUGCUAUCCCAAAUGUCCAAGGUGGCGGAGACAGGAGAAGACUGUCUACUCGAAUUGGACAAAGCCAAAAAUGGAAUUUUGGCAAAACUAGCGAUGGGCAUGUAAAGGCCCUUAAGCAACAACAUAAUCUCGGUGUGUGGGAUUAUAGGGUGAGCAUACCUGGAUUGAGGAACCACUCCCUAGGCUAUCGGGUAGGUUCAUCCCUAAGAAUACUUGCUAAGGCAUAAUAGAAAGUGCAAAGCUAUCCUCCUAGUCGAGAGGAGAAUGACCGAAGGAAAGGUGUGAAGCCAAAAGCAAGAAGUAUGGGGGUAGAACCAAACCAUAGGAAUCGAAGGGCAUAACCAAGGGUAGUUAUGCCAGCUGGGAGUGGAGAAUCAAGUGGGGGCUCGAGAGUGUUGCCGCUAGCAACCGUGAUGCCAUGGAGAGUCUAAAAUAUGGAAAUGUCCAUGUUAGACUAUAUGGUAAUUGGAAAGCUUGCAAAAAGGGAGGCCUUAGCAAGCUAAGGGACAGAGUUCCUUCAAGGUUCCCAAAGAUGAUUCUAGGUAGCUUAGUACCUAGAAAGGCCAAGCGUAAAUAGUUCAAUGUACGCGCGAAAUCAGAGUGGCGCAGCAGAAGCGUGGCUUGAAGCUUGCCAUGAGGCAAGGCUAUCAAGGUUAUGGAAGUAGUUCCCGAGUGUUCAAAGAGAGGGCUUUGAACGAAAGUCGAUGAUCAAGGGCUUUCACGCUUGUGCAGGAACCAUGUUACAGUGGUCGGAGGACUUGCCAAAGCGAGAUUGGCAAGUCAGGGGAACAAAUACCCUAGUUGAAGGUGAUAACUUCAAAAAGGGUGGGCUAUGGGGCCAAGCAUGGAGGAGUCCAUGCAUGAUCACAGACUUGUCAAGUGAGAGGACUUGGCAAUGUGGAGGAACUAGGUUCCUAAGCUGUGAUCUAUAGCGCGCUUUGAGUAUAAGUUGGUGCACCGGCGUGGGGAGUCACGCCAGGCAUCCUGGGUGAUGCCGUCCGUAGAUGCAUAUACGGAGGUUGGGUUCGAGUCCCGACCCUCUAGUGCUUGGGUUCGAGUCCCAAAUCACUAAGGCGUGGUGAUGGUUUGGAAUAUGAGGACACUCAUAUUUCGGUGGUCAUGGACUCUCAGUGAGGAGACUGGUUUGGGCACACCGCUAAGCGAGGGAUGCCUCGGAGUCGUGAUGCACGGUUAGAUUGCUUAGAGUGAAAGCUCGGCAUAUCUAACUUGAACACUUUGGUGCAAAAGGCAUCAAGGACGUGGUGAAUGAGAUGGGGACACCCAGUCUCAGUUGCUAUGGAUCCUUGGCCGGAAGGGCUAGCUUGGGCGCACCGCCAAGUGUGGGGGAUGCCCCCGGGGUCAUAGUCAACAACUUAGUAAGGUCUGGAAGACCUAGUCCCUAUUGGUAGACCUAUUAAGGGGUCAAGACGAGAUCACUAGGUGAUCUUGUGGCUAAACAAGGACAAGGUCUUUGUUUGGGUUAAAGGAUAUGAUUCCUAGUUCAAAGUGUUGAUUUGAACUACUGAUAAUGGUGUGGCUUGGUCAAGGUGACCAAGUGGGAAGAGCACCUAUGGGAAAUGAGCUAUGUCACGGCUAUGGCAUAGUAAGUCCGAGGAAAGUGGCCUUUAUGAAAGAUCCAAGGGAGGGUCUCAAAAGUUGGGCCAUAGAUAAAGCCCACAGCAGGAAAUGCUAAAGUGACAUACUAGGGGUGAGCACCCUUUGGACUUGGCAAAGUAAAGUCUUUGCUAUGGAAUCAAGAGAAUACCUCAAGGAGGGAGGUAAUGAUCCUAUGUUGCUUGGUGCAACAAUCCAAGGAUAGGAGCAAAAGACGAGUGCCCAAGAUAGGGCCGUGGAAUCCAUUGGAAAGAAUCCAAGUGGCAAAGUUAACCAAGGAACACUAAUGUGUUUGAUGCUAAUGGAUUGCGGAAAAAGAAGUGGACUUCCAAGGAUGGAUUCCCAAGUGCUCCAGUUUGGCAAAGGAAAGGCUCCAAGUGAGGGAGCAACUAAGUAGCCAAAAGAUAGGGCCGUGGACAGCCCUAGCACAAAUAAUGAUAAAUGGAACGUAAUGCCAAUGGUGGCACAAAAAUAGAAAAGAGAAUGAGGGUGCCCUCGAGUAGAGAACUUCCUAGGAGGGGAAGUGGGGUUGCACAAAAUGUGCAAGGCAAGGUGUCGGAGACACCUAGGAAAUUGACUCCAAAAAGUCAAAAAUAAACGUUCCAAAGUGCAAAGGUAGAUCAAUGGAAUUUGUGACUACUCAAAAAUGAGUAGUGGAAUUGAGUUAGAGAGGGUGCCUCUAACGGGUUUAGCGAGAGCUGAACCAAUAAAAAGGAGCAACCCACCCCAGGUGGUCAAGUGAGUCUCUAAGUUGGAGAGACUAUCCUCCUUAGAGGAUGGGCAAGGCAUGGUGAGCCUUCAAUGUCAAACUAUUGACAAAUAUUGGCUAGGUGCCAAGGAUGGAAAUGGUAACACAUGCGAGUGUUACUUUAUAAAAUGGUUUACCGUUCGAUGAAGACAUCGAACUUCGUCUAUGGGUGGUGGAGUUGUGAGACACAAAAUCCCUAGGCCCCAAAGUGGAGCCGGAAAGGGUGCCACGUGGUAGUGGCCGAAGCGAAAGCCCAAACGAGCGUAACACGUUUGGACUAAAAGCUCUAACUUAGAAGGUCGAGAACGGGAGUGGAACUCCCAACAAAGUGCUCAAGGAGCGAGCACGAAGCGAGCAAUAAGCAAGGCUCCAAAAAGGGACCCAAAAAGAACCAACACAUGACACGUGGAAGUGUCCGAGAUGGAGUCUGAGACGGACCCUAGUUGGAGUCCGAGAUGGACUCGAAGUGGAGUCCGAUAUGGAGUCCGAAGUGGAGUCCGAGGUGGACCGAGACGGAGUCCGAGAUGGAGUCCGAGGUGGACCGAGACGGAGUCCGAGAUAGACCCGAGAUGGAGUCCGAGAUGGAGUCCGAGAUGGACCCGAGAUGGAGUCCGAGAUGGAGUCCGAGGUGGACCGAGACGGAGUCCGAGAUGGACCCGAGAUGGAGUCCGAGAUGGACCGAGACGGAGUCUGAGAUGGAGUCCGAGAUGGAGUCCGAGAUGGACCGAGAUGGAGUCCGAGAAGGACCCGAGAUGGAGUCCGAGGUCGAGACCGAGACCGGGACCAAGACCGAGACCGAGACUGGGACCAAGACCGAGACCGAGACUGAGACCGGGACCGAGACCGAGACCCGGACCGGGACCGAGACCGAGACCGAGGCCAAGGCUGAGAAUGAGCCCAAGCCCGAGUCUGAGUCCGAGUCCGAGUCCGAUUCCGAGUCCGAGUCCGAGUCCGAGUUCGAGUCUGAGAGGGUGAAAGCCCAAAGCGUUCGUCUCCUAGACCCUGGGGGGUUUGGUGAGCUCCAAAAGUAUAGUAAGGGGGAGGACUGCAGUGGAGCCAGUUUGGCCAGGAAAGGUCAGUUUGGCCCAGGAAGGCCAGACCCAGUGUUGGGUGAUGAACUGACCACUGGGAAGUCCAAGACUAGAGUGAAUAUGGACCGACAAGCGGGGUGGCUUGGUGAAGUGUUCAAGAGCCGGCUCUAGUUCCCCCGGGAGAUCGACUGGCCGAUGCUCCCAGUCCAAGUGUGGGUGGCACUACCUACUUGGAUACCAGGCGUGGCUCAACGGAACCUCGCUCUAAGCCCAUGGCUAGAGCACCUAAAGGCGAAAGGCGGGGAGAGUACCCAGGUGGCUCGCGUAAGGCCACGGUGUUCGGAAAUGUUGUCCCAAAGGCCUAGACUGUGGAAAGGAAGAGGAGCAGUCCUCUGGGGUAGUGACCAAGGACACAGUCGUGUGGUGAGGAUGUCCCAGAGGACCAUGGACUUAGGGGUCGGGCCUGUGGGCCUCGAUCCAGUGGCAGUGUUGGUAAACACGGCCAAGGGCAGAAAGGGACUUGGUAGGAACUGACAAGGGGACUUUGGGGAAGGCAAUUCCCCAGGUCUGUGGGCAUCCUAAGGAUGCUAAGGAGUGGAUCUAGGAUGACCACUUGUGGACAGAUGGCCCAGUCUUGGAGAGACGGGAUUGUGAUGCAAGUGGUAUUGGACCACUAGUGCAGCAAAGGUGAAUGGGCAUGGCCUUAGCGUAACGGGCCGAGAUGCCAGUGGUACCUUUGGGUGUUGGUCUUGGAACCGGACACGUGGAGCACUUGGACCAGGUGCAAGUGUUGAGUGGCAUGGAUGCCAUUCUUGGGGCUAGCAAGUCCCAAGUCCUGAAUUGGACUAAUGGAGGUUGUGAAUGAGACUCCUCCAAGUGGUCGGAGGUGUGGUUAAGUGACUAAGUAGAAUGGAAAAUUUAGUCGUUUACAAGACAACAACAACAAAACCAGGAAAGCAAAUUCAAGAAAAUGAUAAUUCAAGAAAACUCUAGCACAACAUCAAAUGUACAAACACAAUCUUGAUCCACUCAAGAAAUAAGUGUAAGAUUACAUACAAGAAAUACGAGAAGAGAAGAAACACUUGUAGAAAAAAUUAGAAGUAAACAAGCAAUAAAAGACUCAAGCUUAAAUCGAAAUCCUUGAGACUAUAUUCAAGACAUUCGACAAAAUGACCUAAGCCACACAAGUUGGCAAAUCAAGCAACAUCAACACAACCAAUGUCAAGGAAGACACAAUCAACCAAAAUUUAGACUUAGAUCAAGAUUUACCACCACUCGAAAUUCCUGAUUACAAAGAUUACAACACCGACAACUUUCAACCUUAUCUAGCUUCUCUAGAAACUAAACCAUCACCAACAGUAGAAAGAUGGCACUCAUCAACCCAACAACACCCUAUGGCAUCAUGAUUACAUAUCCAAUCUUCACCAGUAGCAAAACUAAAGAUGCAGAAAGACAUUUCCAGCAAUUCAACUAAAUUAUAUAAGUCAAUCAGUAAGAAGACAACAAAGAACUUCUAUUCCCUUUCACACUUAAAAGAAAAAGAUUAGAAUGGUAUUAUAAUCUUGAUGAAAAACUUAAGUUUCAGAAAAAGUUAAGCGAUUCAAAGAGAAGUACCAACCCGGUGGCACAACAGCUAAAUACUUAGAACAUCUCAAAAGCAUCAAACAAGGCAAUAAAGAAGAUAUCAAAAACUAUACCCAAAGAUUCAAAUAUCAAGCAAAGUGCUACAAAAAUUUACUCACUGAACAAGGUAAGUAUAUUUGGUAUGUACAGGGAUUGAAGAAGAUAUACCAGCAAAUGGUUACUCUCACAAGUACAAAAGAAGAUCUAGAUGCUGAGACCUUUAUUGACAAUAUUUCCAAGAAAAUCAAGAACCUCAAGAAAUAGCUUUGAAAAUUUUUAAGAGUAGAAACAACAAGAACAAACGACUCUUCUGAUGAUAAGGAAGAAUACAAACUCAAAGUCAUGAAGAAAGACAAGAAUCAAGACUUACCAAAAUACUUAAAAAAGUUACAAUCAAGAAUGAACUUAAAGGAGUAUAGUGUACAAAAUGUAAGAACAAAAGGCAUAUCCUAAUAAAGUGUAAACUAUUAAUUCCUAAGUGUUAGAUCUGUGAAAAAUAAGGAUAUAUAACAAAGAUCUGUUGAUACAAAAGAGCAACUAAAGUCACACGAGUCAAGAACAUACCUUGAACUCCUACACCAACUAAAAGACAUUACAAUAAACCCAGACAAGAAUCAUAACAGUGGUAAUUGAACUACCAAAAUCAAGGUACAUAUAAUCAUAACCCUAGAUACCAUCGACAAUACAACAAUGGCAACCAAAACAAUCAAUAUCAGCAACUAUACCAAUAGGCUUAUCAGCAGCCUUAUCGAGACAACCAACAAUGGAGACCACCACCCCAGCAAAACAACUAUUAAUAACAAUACCACAACAAUCGACAAUGGAAACCACCUCUGCAAUAACUAAACUAUCAACAACAAAAUCAACAAUAUGAUCCACCACCUAGAAUAUUUCCUUGCAACAACUAUCAAUAGCAACCUCAAACUCAAGAAAUCCAACCUCAAUACCAACAACAAAACCAAGGAAAUCGACCUCAGCAACAUUGAAGACCUCCUCCAACAACAAGAAAUGUCAACAUCGACUAAAUCGAAGAUGAACACUUUGAAGAUGAACCUAAGGUAAGAGCUCUAACUUGAAGUCAGAAAAAACACUACACUCCUGAAGAUGACCUUGAGGAAAAGUCAAAGAAAAAAAACUCCAAGAUGAAGUGCAAAAAAUCUCAAGGCACGAAUGAUAACAAAACAAGAAGCUAGUCAACACAAUUCAGCAAACCCUUCAACAACAACAACCUGAAAUUGAAGACGAUCAGGAAAUUGUGACUAAAACUUUGUUAAGAAAAGAGAAACAACCAAAACCCAUCACCAACAUUUUUCAACAAGGUAUCACACUCACCCUUUUAUAGGUAGCUUUAUACUUGAGAAAACAACUUCUCAAGAUAUGUCAAACUUCUCCACCAAAACACUUCAGCUUAAGUCAAGAAAAAAACCAACAACUCAUCCCAUAAGGCAAACAUUCAACCUAGCGACUAUGAUGAAGAUGUAUCAUGCAUCCCAAUCACGAUAGGAAAAAACAAAGUUAUAUAAGUAAUCAUCAAUAGUAGAGCAAAUAUCAACAUUAUCGAGUAUUCAAGUUGCAAAACAAUGAGACUUGGACUAAUCCACUCUACACUCUUCAACAUCAAGAUGGUUGACAAUCGGAGUGUACAACCAUCAGGAAUCAUGCAUAAUAUUCCUAUCAAGAUUAAAGAUCAAGAAUUUAAGAUAGCUUUCAUCGUACUCAUGGCGAAAGACCAAAGCUACUAUGAAGUACUCCUCAAAUGAACUUGGCUCAAGACAAUAGACAUUAUCACAUACUGGAGGAACAAUACCAUCACCAUUUUAGUUGCAAUAGACUACAUGACAAAAUGGGCUGAAGCUUAACCAUUAAAGAUUAUUACAACAAAGAACACAAUAAAGUUCAUCUAUGAAAACAUCAUCACAAGAUAUGGCUUACCUUGAGAACUUGUCAUUUAUCAAAGAACACACUUCAUCAAUAAAACCAUCAAGAUUCUAACUCAUGAAUUCACUAUUCAGCACAAGGCUUCAACACCGUACUACCCUCAAGGCAAUGGUCAAGCAGAGUCUACAAACAAGACACUCAAAAACAUUCUCAUGAAAAUCGUGAAAAUAAAUUAGAAAGACUAGGACGAUCACAUCUACAAUGCCCUAUAGGCAUAUUAAACCACAUAUAAAGUUUCAACAAAUUUGACACCAUUCAAGCUCACCUAUGGCCUUGAAGUUUUGACACCACUCAAGUAUAUAGUUCCAUCACUACGAAUGGCAAUAUAAUAUGAAAUCAACCAAGAAGAAUUGAUCAAAAGAAGACUAACCAUGCUAGAAUAACUUAUUGCUAGCUAGGAUCCUUUGACUAUCUCAUUUUGAAGCUUUGGAAUGCUCAAGGAGUCUUUUCAAACUCAGCAAAGUUGCUGCUUCAUAUGAUGGCCGAGGCUAACUAUUAUCAAGCAGUUCUUUUGAUAGAGUUAUGCAAUCUCAUGUGCAAGGCACUACUUUGAUAAUGUCCUAUGACUAAGGAGGAACAUGAGAUGCAUAUGAGGCAAAUGCUGCCACUAUUGAGGGAGAACAAGCUGUAUUCUAAACUGUCAAAGUGUGAGUUCUUCUUGGAGGAGAUCAACUAUCUUGGGCCACAAGAUGGUGUGCAGGAAGAUCCUCAAAAGACUCAGAUAGUCGUUGACUAGCUUGUUCCCCCUACUGUGCAUGGGUUUCCUUGGUAUGGUGGGAGUCUUUUGCCGGUUUGUGAAGGACUUCUCCUUGAUUGCUGCUCCUUUGAUGGAUAUGCUUCGAAACACCACCAAGCAUGCUAAGUUGGUGUGGGGUGAAAGUGUCAAGAAGCAUUUGAGCGGUUAAAGCAAUCAUGUAUAUUCUACAGAGAUUUGCUUGUGAUAAGCCACUUGUGGUAGAAGGCUAAGGCUCACACUAUGGAGUCUAUGUAUUCAGAGGGUAUGGCUCAUGAGUCCUUUUCUCUUUCUGAUCCUAGUGAGGCCAUGGGUGUCAGUGUGGACCAAGGAGAGAAUGUAUCUACUCGUGUUCUAGUUGACACUACUGUCACUAAGCUUUCUGAAGGAGUGAAGAAGAAUUGUAUCAACUCAUCUGAGCUGUACGGUUGUUUGUGCAAUGAGUUGUGCAUAGCCAAGUGCUCAGUGUCCUCUUUGACUUUGGUGCUACACAUACUUUCAUUAACAAGGCUAGUGAUGAGGGUAUAGGAGCUGUCUUGGUGCAAGACUGCUGUCCUAUUGCCUACAUAAGCCACAAGUUUGACGCAACUUAGUUGAACUGCCAACUCGGGUUGUAGUUGUUGCAGUCAAAGAGUGGAGGCAUUAUCUAUAUGGUUUGGAUUUUUCAUGUGGAUAACUUUACCACUUGUCACUCUUUUCACUCGCUAGAUAGAGCUUCGAAGCUAGCUAGCUCAUUGACUGGAGUUUUUGCAGGAAAUGGAUGUGCAGAUUCCAAACCACCAGAGGAGUUUAGCUCUGGGGUUUAAGGUGACAAAAACCGAUUUCCCGAGGAUUCCCGAGUAAAAGUCAAAGGGUAAUUUUGACUGCAGAUUACUCGUGAAUACGGAAGAUUGAUGUUUAAAGCAAAGUUGCUAGGUUUUCCAAGAUCUACAACUUUUCUUUAAGACAAUUUUCCUGUUUCUGAAAGGAGUAGACAGUAAAGGUGGUUGUUUCUCCAUUGUCUAGGAUGGUGAACUCUAUCUCAUUUGGGAAGCUCUCCAGUGGUUUGCUGGAUGAAAUUAAGGAGCUUGCUGACUUUGACUCUUUGUAGUGAAGGCACGUGCAGUUGUUUUGAAGGCCUCUUCCAAUGCGAUUGUGCUUCCUUCGAUGUACAAGAUGGUUUCCUAGUCAAGAUAAAUCGGGCUAUGGUUCCUAGAGAUGAUGUUCUUUUACAGUGGAUUCUGUAAGAGUGUCCGUUGCACCAAGUGCAGGACAUCGAGGAUGUGUGUUCUGGUAGAGACGCAUUUAUUUUGGCCUGGAAUGAAAUCAGGUGUUGAUAAGUAUGUGCACAGUUGUUAGACUGGCCUGACGGUCACAAUGGAUUGUCAGAAGCAUGAAGGUCUCUACCAUAGUUAACCUCAAUGGAAGUGGGAUAGCAUUUUCUAUGAGUUUCAUAGUAGGCACUUCAAGGCAAUGAUGCUAUCUGGGUUGUUGUGGAUUGUGUGAUGAUGUUGGCUCACUUCUUCCUUGUGAAGAUGAAUGCUAAGGCUUUUGACCUUGCUCAGCUGUAUUUCUCUAUGGGCUGCCUAAGGAUGCUGUAAGUGAUCGGGAUCCCACGUUCACUUUGGAGUUUUGGCAGACGGUGUUCCAGAAGCUUGAGACAAAGCUGAGCAUGAACAUCCACAGUCAGAUGGACAAACAAAACAAGUUAAUUAGGUGCUGGAAGACAUGCUGAGAUCGAUUGUUGGUCAUCCGAAGAGGCAAGGUAUUUGGGAGAAGUACCUGCCUUUGUUAGAGUUUGCCCAUAACUGUGCCUUCCAUUUGGCUAUUGAGAUGGCUCCGUUUAUGGAAAUGUAUGGCUUUCAACCUCGGUCCCCUGUUGGUAUGAACUUGGCUACUCUUAAGGUGCACCAGGCAAAGGAGUUGGCUGAUGAGCAUCGUCAGCACAAGCAGUUUCAGGUUGGAGACAAGGUUUUCCUUCGGUUGUCUGAAGCUUCUCUUCAAGGUGGAGGUAGUUCUAAGUUGUCGCCAUAGUACUGUGGGCCUUGGAUUAUUCUCAAACGAGUUGAAGACCUUGCCUAUCAACUAGACUUGCCUAGUGGUGUGAAGAUUUCUAUGUAGGAAGUUGAAGGCGUGUUUGCAUUCUGGUAAUAUCUUGGACCAGUCUGCGAUCAAGAUUCCAGAGAUAGAUGUUUGAAGGUUGGCCCUACUUGUGUGUUAUAGCAACGGCUAGCACACACACAUCAUAAGACUUGGAGAGAGUUACUUGUUCAGUGGAAUGGUUAUUCUCCAUAUGAUGCUACAUGGGAAGCUGAGGAUGAUGUUGUUUCCUAAUUUUGAGUAUGACUUCGAUGACAUUCCAGAGGAAGAGGAGAAGUAGUCGCUUGCUCCUAUCCUUUCUUUUCUGACCCCGUUGAUGGCUGGAGGUGUUGUGUCACAUGAGACAGUUAGUGGUUUUGUUAGCGGGAUGCUUUGCUAGCUUCUCUCUCCUCAGCUACUGUUCAUCAUAGUUGGAGCAGAGGGAAAAAUGUCACCGUAUUUCGUGAUGAACCAGCUGAUUCUGGACCUAGGUCUCUGAUCAAAGAGCCAAAUACCAACUGCAAAUUUGCAUGUGAAGAGGUGUUCAAGCAUCUCCACGGGGUUUUCAUUGCAUAGAAUACACAGAGUUUUGUGAACUGUGAGCCAAUCACCAACAGGGAUGCUGUCUUGCACAAGAAGCCAGCUUACCUUAGCUUCCACCAGUGUCUUCCACAUGUUCACAAUGUACUUCCGAUUCUUCAAUUUUCGCAUAAGCUUGGUGUCAAUUUUAUCCAUCAAAAGCUCUCUGCCAUGCUUAGACCUGUACAUAAAAAAAGACACACUGAACUCAUUACCUUCCCAGGAUAACUGAGCCGGAUCCUAUAUAAGAUCAGAUAUAGGUACUCCCAAAACUAGUGUAUUGCAGAGCAUUCUCCCAGUUGAACCUUAGGAUCCAGUUCAGUGUAUUUCCCUCUCUGAUGUAUCUUCCUGAUCCUUUUACCGAAGGCCAUCCUGGGAACUGGGACCUCCUCGGGAACUAUACAUGGAAACAGUGCACCACUGUUAUGGGGAUAAAAAACAAUACCUUGAGGUGAUGGGGUUGUUUCCAUAACAAAGAUGAUUUGAGUCUCAGCACCAUCAAGCAUUAUCCAAUCACGAACCUCGAUAACUUCAGUUUGUAAAGCAAGAUGAAGGCGAUCACAAGCGAUGCUGCCUUAAGCUUUGAUGUGGAGUUUUCAUCCUGGGUUGUAAUGGGUUGUCAUGAGGCCAUGUUUGCUCCAAGCGGACGUUAAACAAAUACCUGACUUUACCUUUUUCAUUGUAUCAUACCUUGUCCACUGCUGAGGAAGAAAAACAAGAUCCCAACAAGAACUUUGCUGUAAGUGAUGGCUUGCUAGCUCUUUGUAGAUCAAAUAAGUCUUUGAUCGAAGCCUAUGCCACCUAGGCCAAAGGCCUCGUUGAUUAUAUAUGUCGUUGGUGAUCAAGUGUUGGUGAGUUAUCCGGUGUUGUGGAUCCAAGGUUUUUGCUGCGUAGGUCCUUAUCACAUCGUCCAACAAGUUGGUCCACAAAUCUAUGUGGUUACACUCAAUGCACAACGUCAAGAGAAGAUCCAUGUGAAGCGGUUGAACAGAUUAAUGUAAGGAUUCUACCAUAUAUUCUAUGGUAGAUAUAGAUAAACUCAACAAGAUUGGAAUACACUAAAUUUUUAAUAAUAAUAAAUUAAAAAAUUUUAAUGUGUAUUUAUGGAGCCCACAAGAGUAGGAGUGAGGUGUUAUCAUAUUAUGAAUCCCACAAGAUCAAGAGUGAGAGGUGUUAAUCAUAUUAUUUAUAUGCUCCAUAUGAUCCUGAAGUUUAGGGGGCCCAGGUAAGUUGGAGGAAAGAAAAAAAAGAAUUAAUUAGAGUUAUUGUGAAAUUAGAGUAUAAAUGUGAGUUAAGAGUUAACACGAGCUAAAAGAGGGAAGUAGGAAUGCUGGGAUGGAGUUCCACCAGGUAGAAAAGACAAGUCAUACCUCAAGCCUCAGAUUGCUCCCACCCUGCCUCCACCCGGUUGCCUACUUUAACCAAGCCCCGAACCACCCAGCAGUCUUGGCGCACAGGGAUGACAUCAGCCCUAACCUCUUGCUCCACUGCUCCUACUUCUGAGCUGCUAGCAGCUUCUCCCCUCCUUAAAAAAAACGGUCUGUUGUUCUCUUGGGAGUUCAAGAGGCGUCCUCUUCACCGUCUCCUCUGUUUUUGCUAGCUAGUUAGCUCUUACAAGGAGCACAAGCCAAGUUCAGCUCCAUGCUCAGCUCUAUCAUCUCCUCUUUAAGACACCUCACCUCUUUGAAGCCAUUCAGGAGAGCUAGCACGCUUCACGUCUAGACGUCCCCCCCCCCCCCCUCCUUUUUUUGUGCGAUUGUCUCUUCAAACUCAUCAUACUUAUUCAACUCACCAACCUUACCAAGCCGAGUGCAGGUUUUGAAACCCCAUGAGUCACCUUGGCCUUUUUCCAUCUUCCAGUUGAGCUCUCCAACAAUCUUGACGUGCAGAUGCGUGCAAACUGCUCCUUGAGCCAGGACCAUUUCUCCAGGAGAUAACUUAUGCUACAACACUCUCCACUCGAUGAUCUCAAUGUGGAAAGAUCCACAAAGCUGUCCCACUCAUCAUAGUUGUAGAAGAAAUCAUCCUCAUACUGCAUCUGCAACCUUGCUCGAGCCCAAACCUCCACCAUUGCAAGCUUCUCCCUCAUCUUGAUCAGCUCACACUUGAGGUGGCAAAACAAGUUCAGGUCCUGAGGAACAACACCUUUCCCGGGUACCUGUCUCGAAUCCUGUGAAAGUACAGUGGACGAUGUGGUGUUUCAGAUCGCAGCGGAAUGAUAACUUGAUGAAAGCAACAAAACCAUUGAGCUCGCUCUUUGGGGAUCAAUUAUCAUUUCCUCCUUUGAAGCAAUGAGCAGCAGGCCUUGAUCACAUCCAGAAGUACUAGAGAUAGUCUGCAAAAGCAAGUUUGACACCAGUUAUUUUGGCAACACAGAAGAAAAAGAAGAAAAAUAAACUCAGGUUUCAAAAUUUAUAGAGAUCCAUACAAUCCAAAAUCCUCCAUGAACUUAAUGCCACUUUCAGCACCUCCAAGCUCUGCCGAAAAACGUAGCCACGGUAUGCCACAAUCAUUUGCUUGAAAAUCUGAAGAUGUCAAUCAAAGCAUGCAAGCAAAAACAUGAAGUAAAGAAGCGCAGGUUGACAACAAAGGAGAUAAACUGAGCAAGGCCAAGAACACAUAUAAGGACUGAAUGUAAACACGUGAGGCCUCGCGUGGUUUUUUCCUCCGUGUGUGGCUUCAUGUGCGAAGAGUUUGGUGUGGUAAGGUAUGUUGUGGAGCAGCCAGAGCCCCAGGGUGAAUAUAAGCACGUGAGGCCUUGUGAGGUUUUACCACCACCCGAGGACUCCUGUGUAUGGGCCCCAGGCGAGAGUCAUUUGCGAAAGUGUUCUGCAUGAAACUGGUGCCCUGAGGCUUCUGGCCGAAGAGCAUUUUUUAUUUAAUUUGUGUAGAGUGUGGUUUAUUUUUGCAUAUUGAGUGUAUCGAUAUCUUUUAGUUAGCAGAUUAUAUUGAAGAACUGAAGACUACCUACAGUUAAGUGCAUGCAGCAACAGAUCAUAUAAAAAAUGAAUGAAGAGAAUAACAAAUCGGGAUUUCUAGGAAGUUCGUGUUGUUAGUAAUAAUAAUAAUAAUCAUAAAAACCUGACGCAUGCAUACCCUAGAAAUCCCGAUUUGUUAUUACUUAACUGUAGUAGUAAAAAGCUCGUGUUUUCUGUUUUUUCUUUUUCUAAUUCUUUUCCUUUUUAAACUUUACAAUGUCACAGUACAUGCAUAAUUUUCAGACAAUCUUCUAACUGGCUGAACAUCUAGGGUUUGUGUGGUGUGUGUGUAUCUCAACAAUCUCAUGCAGUGGAAAACGUUUUUCAGGGAUCCCACUUUCUGGUGGGACAACAGGUUGGGAGCUUUGAUCAAAGACUUAUUGGAUCUACAAAGAGCUAGCAAGCCAAAGUUCUUGUUGGGAUCUUGUUUUUCUUCCUCAGCAGUGGACAAGGUAUGAUACAAUGAAAAAGGUAAAGUCAGGUAUUUGUUUAAUGUCUGCUUGGAGCAAACCUGAUAGCCUCAUGACAACCCUGACACAAACCACUGAAAUAUUUUAAGAAUAUUCCAUGGCUUGUGGGAUUUAACACUUUAUUUGUCAAGAAGUUUGAAGAGGUUGAUCUCGUAAACCAGCUGUUAAAGAUCAGGCAAGGGACUUUGUCUUUGGAUGUGUAUGCCCGCAAGUUCUGCGAUCUUUGCUUUAGUUUCAUGGGCACCUAUAUGAGUUGCUGAAGGUGCAAUAUUUCAUCAAAGGAUUGAAUUCUAUGGAUGUGCAAUAGAAGGUCAAGAAGGAUUUUCCAGCAACAUUGACUAAUGCUAUCACUAAGGCUUAGAUCUUUUCGCCCGAACCGUCAGUCAACUUAGUCAACUCUGGUCAACGAGAUGGUCUAUGGAGUAGUCAACGUGAUGACCAGCUCACCAAUGCUUCAUAUUCGGGGAAGAAAUUGUCGUUAUUUUGUUGUGGCUCGAAGCAUGAAGAUGGCAAUGAGGCUAAGAGACUUCAUUUGGACCAGCAAAAGAAGGACAAUGUAGAGGGCAAUUGUUUUCGUUGCCGCAGGGAUGGAUAUUAGAACAAGGAUUGUUUUGAAGGGGUUAAUGAAUGAUAAGAUGACUGUGGUGGAAAUUAUAGGCAAUGAUGUGAGUGAUAGUGCUUUUGAGGCCGUAUUGCUUCAAGUUAAGCAUCCUUUCACAUUCAUAAGCCACAAGUUUGAUGCCACAUAAUGGAAUUGACCUACUCGAGAAUGGCAAUAUUAUCUAUAUGGAUUGGACUUCCAUGUAAAUUCAAAUUAUCAAUCUCUCCAGAUAUAGAUCUUCAAGGCCGUCUUGCUCGUUGGCAAGAGUCCUUGCAGGAAAUGUUUGUUAAGAUCCGGUACAAGCAUAGAGGUGACAAUAAAGUGGCUAAUGCAUUAUCUAGGAUGGUAAAUUCUAUCUCAUUCGUGAAGCUAUCCAGUGAUCUCUUGGAUGAGCUUAAGGAGUUUGCUGACUUCAACUCCUUUAUCACUGAUAUUCGCACGAAGGUUUUGUUGAAGGACGCCUCUAGAGAUUUGAAGGGUGACAAGUUUGCGUCAUUCUAAAUAUGAGAUGGAAUCCUGGUGAAGAAGGGACGUGUAGUGGUUCCUCAUGUUGCCAAACUCAUUAAACAGAUUUUAGUCACAUAGAAUGUUGGAUGAAUCUUCAAACUAACUAACAAAUCCAAAGUGUAUACAAGAUCCCCCACAUGCUAUAUGAUUGUCCAAGGUCCACAAUAUUGUGAAGACAACUUAGCACUGCCACCUCCUUUCAGAGACUAUUGUGCAUCUAAUAGCUUAAGGAAAACUUUGUCACCAACUUUGUACUCUUGAUGAUGAUGAUGCUUAUCACCCAAUCUUUUGUCUCACUCUUGCAUCCAGCCAAUAUUCUUGCUCAAAGAUUGGUGAAAACAUAUUGGAAGACAAUUAGGGAGUUGUUAGUUUAGUGGAAUAAUUAUUCCAUGGACAAAGUUACAUGGGAAACUGAGGAUGACACGAAGAAAGUGUUUUCAAGUUUUGGUUAUGACUUGGAUGACAUUCUUGAGGAAGGGGAGAAUUGAGUUCUAUAACCGUAUUGCUAUAUGAUUUGAGCUGUUUAUUCUAUUCUCAUUCUCUUGUUUCCAUGACCGUAUUGUCAUGUGAGAAAGUUGUAUUGCUUUCUUUCGUUCAUUGUUGUUUAUCACGACAUUGGUGUUGCCGUUUGCACAUUUUUUCUCCAUGGCCAUAUUGCCUUGGACUCCCUUCAUAUGAGGCUUUUUUAGCUUCUCGAAGCUGUCAUAUGUGGCUGGGUCAUGAGGGAGGGGAAAAUGACACGAACCACAUGAAUAUUCUAAGAAUAUUCUAUGGCCUGUGGGAUUUAAGGCCAUAAUGCUUUAAGAGUUGGGAGGUUGGCCUAGGGUUCACUCUCUUAUUCGUGGAUAAAAUUGACACCAAGCUUAUGCGAAAGCUGAAGAAUCAGAAGUACAUUGUGAACAUGUGGAAGACACUGGUGGAAGCUAAGGUAAGCUGGCUUCUUGUUCAAACCCAUUACAACCCAGGAUGAAAACUCCAUAUCAAAGCUUAAGGCAGCAUCACUUGUGAUUGCCUUCAUCUUGCUUUACAAACUGAAGUUAUCAAGGUUCGUGAUUGGAUAAUGCUUGAUGGUGUUGAGACUCAAAUCAUCUUUGUUAUGGAAAAAACCCCAUCUCAAGGUAUUGUUUUCUAUCCCCAUAACAGUGGUGCACUGUUUCCAUGUAUAGUUCCCGAGGAGGUCCCAGUUCCCAGGAUGGCCUUUGGUAAAAGGAUCAGGACAAUACAUCAGAGAGGGAAAUACACUGAACUGGAUCCUAAGGUUCAACUGGGAGAAUGCUCUGCAAUACACUAGUUUGGGGAGUACCUAUAUCUGAUCUUAUAUAGGAUCCAGUUCAGUUAUCCUGGAAAGGUAAUGAGUUCAGUGUGUCUUUUUUUAUGUACAGGUCUAAGCAUGGCAGAGAGCCGCAGGACAGCAUCCCUGUUGGUGAUUGGCUCACAGUUCACAAAACUCUGUAUUCUAUGCAAGGAAAAUCCUUGGAGAUGCUUGAACACCUCUUCACAUGCAAGUCGUCACGAAUAGAUCUACCUGUUUCUUCUCCUUGCUCAGCAUUGAAUGGAUCUCCAUCCCAAUGCGUAGAGCUCUCUCCCUCUUCUCGCGGACGAGAGUCAUUUGCGAAAGUGUUCUGCAUGAAACUGGUGCCCUGAGGCUUCUGGCCGUGUUGCCCCACGAAGUGUUAGUAAUAAUAAUAAUAAUCAUAGAAACCUUGAAAAUUAUGCAUGUACUGAUUCUUCAGCUCUUGAGCAACUGAUUGCUGCUGGCUCACUUUCUAUAAUAUCAAAGAGAAUUUUUUUUAACAAUAAACAUCUAAGCUGCUGCAGUUAAGCUGUGACAUUGUAAAGUUUUAAAAGAAAAUGAAUUUGAAAAAGAAAAAACAGAAAACACGAGCUUUUUACUACUACAGUUAAGUAAUAACAAAUUGGGAUUUCUAGGGUAUGCGUGCGGCGCUAGGGUUUGUGUGGUGUGUGUGACAAUCUCAUGGAGUUCAGGGAUCCCACUUUCUGGUGGGACAACAGGUACAAGAAGAAAAACAAGUUCUUCUCAGAGUCCUACCCGGAUUUCAAACAUGUUUCUACCGGAGAGAGCCUGUGGAUCGCCAACAGGAAAACACCAACCUUGGUCUCUGCAACACUCGAGUCGCUCGCUGACCCAGCUAUAGGUAAGGCCACCACGGCCCGCUACAAAUCUCCACAUACCCCACCUGUAGCUGGUGAUGAACCGGUGAGUUUAGGGACGCUGAUACACCGCGUGAGAGACUCAGCUGAGAGCAGAUCCCUUUCUUUGGGAAAACAAGCCCAUGAAGCUGUGCUCAAGAGUGAUGAGCACAAAAGCAACAUCUACUUGUUGACGGGAUUGAUCGAUAUGUACUGCAAGUGUGGCGAGCUUGAGGAGGCUCGCAAGAUUUUCGACUCCAUGGGAACCCGGAGUGUUGUGUCCUACAACGCGAUCAUCCAGGGCUGCGGCUCGAACGGGCAACCUGAGCUUGCUCUGGAGUACUACUCUGCCCUGAGAGCUUGUACCACCAUUCAACCCAACGAUUGGACACAUGUCGCGGUGAUCAGUGCCUGCUCCAGACUUGCUACCGAAUCCAGCGAGAAGAGGGAGAGAGCUCUACGCAUCGGGAUGGAAGUCCAUUCAAUGCUGAGCAAGGAGAAGAAACAGCUAGAUCUGUUCGUGGCGAAUUGCCUGGUAGACAUGUACUGCAAGUGUGGCGAGCUUGAGGAGGCUUGCAAGAUUUUCCACUCCAUGGGAACCCGGAGUGUUGUGUCCUACACCGCGAUCAUCCAGGGCUGCAACACGAACGGGCGAGCUGAACUUGCUCUGGAGUACUACUCUGCCUUGAGAGCUUGUACCACCAUUCAACCCAACGAUCGGACUCAUCUCGCGGUGAUCAGCGCCUGCUCCACACUUGCUACCGAAUCCAGCGAGAAGAGGGAGAGAGCUCUACGCAUCGGGAUGGAGAUCCAUUCAAUGCUGAGCAAGGAGAAGAAACAGCUAGAUCUUUUCGUGGCGAAUUGCCUGGUAGACAUGUACUGCAAGUGUGGCGAGCUUGAGGAGGCUCGCAAGAUUUUCCACUCCAUGGGAACUCGGAGUGUUGUGUCCUACACCGCGAUCAUCCAGGGCUGCAACACGAACGGGCGAGCUGAACUUGCUCUGGAGUACUACUCUGCCCUGAGAGCUGAUAACACCAUUCAAGCUAAUGCUUGCACCUACACCUGCGUCCUUGUUGCUUGCGGGAGUGUGAUGGCGAUCAAGCUCGGGAGGGAGAUUCACCAGCUGGCGAAGCAUAAAGGGCUGCUGAAAAACGAUCCAGUUCUGGGCUCCAGCCUGGUGACCUUCUACGGCAAAUGCGGCGAUGUUGAUUCUGCUCAGGAAGCGUUUGACGAGUGCCAAGCUCGGGACAACACGGGUCUCUGGAACUCUCUCAUACAGGCUUACACUCUCCAGGGCCGAUCGAUCGAGGCCUUGGAGCGUUUCUAUUCCAUGACUCAGGAGGAGGGCUGUAAAGCUGACGAUGUGAGUUUUGUCUCGGUGUUGAACGCUUGCAGCCAUGGUGGUCUGGUCGGGAAAGGAAGGCAGCUUCUGGAUGAAAUGCCCAAGCAGUAUGGAGUCAAGCCACGUCUGG